AUAUUGAAGAUGCGAGGUUCAAAUGUCUUCAAUAUUCAAAGACUUUUGAUUAUCGGUAUGCUGCUUAAACUACUAUUAGAACUAUUGGUAAACUAAAGAUAAAAAAGAAACAAGUAUGAAAAAUAAAAAGAUUCAUUCAUUUUUUUCUAUAUAACCCUCUCUUUUGUACUUUCUGCAAUCGGAUCGAUAACCACUUAGGAGUGCAUGCUUUCUAGUUUAUGCAAACCUUGAUUAAUUACCUGCCACAAAUCCACUCAUUGUGGUGGUUAUUGACUUUAAUUUUGAAUUCAAAAUGGAUCCCUCCAAUUCUCUCGUCAGCCUUCUUGAGAUGCAAUUGAUCUUGGGACUUGAACUUCAAAAUCUAUGGUACCAGUAAUGUUCGCCCUACCUUCUAGAAUAAUUUCUAUUAAGCCGUUA
rnacentral:lncRNA from 1 species